rnacentral:rRNA from 1 species
AUGCAAGUCGAACGGUGAACACGGAGCUUGCUCUGUGGGAUCAGUGGCGAACGGGUGAGUAACACGUGAGCAACCUGCCCCUGACUCUGGGAUAAGCGCUGGAAACGGCGUCUAAUACUGGAUACGAGUAGCGACCGCAUGGUCAGUUACUGGAAAGAUUUAUUGGUUGGGGAUGGGCUCGCGGCCUAUCAGCUUGUUGGUGAGGUAAUGGCUCACCAAGGCGUCGACGGGUAGCCGGCCUGAGAGGGUGACCGGCCACACUGGGACUGAGACACGGCCCAGACUCCUACGGGAGGCAGCAGUGGGGAAUAUUGCACAAUGGGCGCAAGCCUGAUGCAGCAACGCCGCGUGAGGGAUGACGGCCUUCGGGUUGUAAACCUCUUUUAGCAGGGAAGAAGCGAAAGUGACGGUACCUGCAGAAAAAGCGCCGGCUAACUACGUGCCAGCAGCCGCGGUAAUACGUAGGGCGCAAGCGUUAUCCGGAAUUAUUGGGCGUAAAGAGCUCGUAGGCGGUUUGUCGCGUCUGCUGUGAAAUCCGGAGGCUCAACCUCCGGCCUGCAGUGGGUACGGGCAGACUAGAGUGCGGUAGGGGAGAUUGGAAUUCCUGGUGUAGCGGUGGAAUGCGCAGAUAUCAGGAGGAACACCGAUGGCGAAGGCAGAUCUCUGGGCCGUAACUGACGCUGAGGAGCGAAAGGGUGGGGAGCAAACAGGCUUAGAUACCCUGGUAGUCCACCCCGUAAACGUUGGGAACUAGUUGUGGGGUCCAUUCCACGGAUUCCGUGACGCAGCUAACGCAUUAAGUUCCCCGCCUGGGGAGUACGGCCGCAAGGCUAAAACUCAAAGGAAUUGACGGGGACCCGCACAAGCGGCGGAGCAUGCGGAUUAAUUCGAUGCAACGCGAAGAACCUUACCAAGGCUUGACAUAUACGA